rnacentral:lncRNA from 1 species
CCUGGGGACCCCAGCUUCAAAAUGGGAUAAGUGUCUUGCCUGAUCAUUUUAUUUGGGGGUUAAGCCCCUGCAGAAUUAGAGAACCCCCCCGCCAAGUAUGUAUUUAAAGUCCAGAAGUUCUUAAACUUUUUUUGUGCCCUGGACCUCUUUGGCAAGGAGACUGGGACAAUGGCCUUAACUAGUGAGAAGUAGCAGAAUCCUUGUAUAAGAAGACCUAUAGGGAGCAGGAAGGAAGCUGGCCAGGAAUAUGCCUAGAAUAUUUUACUUUUUUUGUGUGGGUAGUGGGGAGGGACUGGAAAUACCUUCAAGACAGAAUGCAAGAUGGGACUGAGUCUCCAAGACCUGGAAUCCCUCAUGUUAAAUCAUUUGGAUAAAUGCAGCCUUAUAUAGUUGUGUUAAGGAGACCAAGGGGAGAGGUUUGCAUCCAAGUUGGAACCACAGUAAGAGAUACGUAGUCAUAUAUAAAUAUAUGUAUUACUCAGGGAGAGCCAUAAGGAGACAGAAGUUUCAGGUGGGAAGGCAAGAGCAUAAUGGCCACGUGGUCUGUUCCUCCUUACCUGGCCAGUCCCCUGUCAGCGUUUUCUCUGCUCAAACAAUAGGGGUGUGUGGGCAUUGCUAGAAUAAUGGAAGCUGUUUGUUCUUUUUUUUUUUUUUAAUCAUCUCUCCAUCUUCUUUCCUUUGCGACUGGACAGUAUAUUCCAUGAAAGCAGAAACUAUUUGAUACUUCUUUUAUAUAACCAAUAAUAGUAGAUAUGAAAAAAGAAAAUGCUUUCUAAUUCUCUCCACUAUUGAAAUAGGGUAUCAGACCCUGCCACGAACUACACUAAACGAUUAAAAUCUAAGCAGACCUGCAACUGAUUAUUAUCUCAUUCCUUCCCGCGGUUUUAUAGAUGUAGAUUUGGCUUAUUUCUUCAUGCACAUACACCGAAGAUGGAUUCUGUCACCAUAAUCUCAUCUCCUCAAUCUGCAAUUCAGUUGUUAGUGUCUUCUUCUUGCACAUCUUCAUCUGCCACCCCAUGGGAUGUAGCUCUCCAUUCAUAAU